rnacentral:rRNA from 1 species
UGCUUAGAUAUGUCACAGAACGCCAAUCGUGAAGACAGGUCACGAAGUUACUACUGACGCUCAUGCACGAAAGCGUGGGGAUCAAACAGGAUUAGAUACCCUGGUAGUCCACGCUGUAAACGAUGAUUACUCGUUGUUGGGCAUUUAUGCUCAGUGGCCAAGCGAAAGUGAUAAGUAAUCCACCUGGGGAGUACGAUCGCAAGGUUGAAACUCAAAGGAAUUGACGGGGGCCCGCACAAGCGGAGGAGCAUGUGGUUUAAUUCGAUGAUACGCGAGGAACCUUACCCGGGCUUGAACGUGAGACGAAUAUAUAAGAGAUUAUAUAGCCUUCGGGCGUCUUGCGAGGUGCUGCAUGGUUGUCGUCAGCUCGUGCCGUGAGGUGUUAGGUUAAGUCCUGCAACGAGCGCAACCCCUACACUUAGUUGCCAGCAUGUCAUGAUGGGGACUCUAAGAGAACUGCCUACGCAAGUAGAGAGGAAGGUGGGGAUGACGUCAAAUCAGCACGGCCCUUAUGUCCGGGGCUACACACGUGCUACAAUGGUAUGUACAGAGGGCAGCCACCUGGUGACAGGGAGCAAAUCCUCAAAACAUAUCUCAGUUCGGAUUGGAGUCUGUAACUCGACUCUAUGAAGUCGGAUUCGCUAGUAAUCGCACAUCAGCCAUGGUGCGGUGAAUACGUUCCCGGGCCUUGUACACACCGCCCGUCAAGCCAUGGAAGCUUGUGGUGCCUGAAGUCCGUACCCGUAAGGAGCGGCCUAGGGUAAAACAGGUAACUGGGGCUAAGUCGUAACAAGGUAACCGUA